rnacentral:rRNA from 1 species
GACGAACGCUGGCGGCGUGCUUAACACAUGCAAGUCGAACGGAAAGGCCCUGCUUUUGUGGGGUGCUCGAGUGGCGAACGGGUGAGUAACACGUGAGUAACCUGCCCUUGACUUUGGGAUAACUUCAGGAAACUGGGGCUAAUACCGGAUAGGAGCUCCUGCUGCAUGGUGGGGGUUGGAAAGUUUCGGCGGUUGGGGAUGGACUCGCGGCUUAUCAGCUUGUUGGUGGGGUAGUGGCUUACCAAGGCUUUGACGGGUAGCCGGCCUGAGAGGGUGACCGGGCACCAGAGGACUGAGGGAGGGCCCAGUCGGCUACGGGAGGCAGUAGGCGGGAACAUUGCACAAUGGGACGAAGCCGGAUGAAGAGACGCCGCGGGUGGGAAGACGGUCUUCGGGCUGAAAACAGCUGCCGCCUGUGACGAAGCGGGAGUGACGGUAAUGGGUAAAGAAGCACCGGCUAACUACGUG